rnacentral:rRNA from 1 species
UACAGAGGGGGGCAAGCGUUGUUCGGAAAUUACUGGGCGUAAAGGGCGCGUAGGCGGCCCCGCUAAGUCGAACGUGAAAUCCCCCGAGCUCAACUCGGGAACUGCGUCCGAUACUGGCGGGCUUGAAUCCGGGAGAGGGAUGCGGAAUUCCAGGUGUAGCGGUGAAAUGCGUAGAUAUCUGGAGGAACACCGGUGGCGAAGGCGGCAUCCUGGACCGGCAUUGACGCUGAGGCGCGAAAAGCGUGGGGGAGCAAACAGG